AGUCUCUCCAUCUCUCUCCAAGUCUCUCCAUCUCUCUCUCUCUCUCCAUCUCUCUCGCUCCAUCUCUCUCCAGCCCUGCGACUUCUCCUUCCCAAGACGACGAUGAACGUGAAGGCGACUCUCCUGCUCGCACUGCUGUGCCUGGCUCUGUUCCACGAGACGUGCGCUGCCCCAAAGCCCAGGCCCAUGCAAGGCCGCCUGGUCCGUCGGCCCCACGGACCCAGGCCAGACGGUGGCCACCCCCGAGCGGGAGUCCUCAUGCGGGGCCACUACCUCAAGAGGAGGCGCCCUGCGGUGGCAUACAAAGUUCCCAUCGCUUGAUGAGCCGUCAACCCCCUUGCACGGCCUCUCCCUCUCUGUCUCUGGCCGUCUCAUCGUCACCACGGCGAGGGUCGUGACCCACGUGACCCACGUGCGGCACGUGACCCACGUGACCCACGUGCGGCACGUGACCCACGUGACCCACGUGCGACACGAAGCCGCCACCUGGAAGGAACCCGGUGCCCAACCCCCACGUGCGUUCCUCCCGGGCCACCUACCCACCUAACCACCUGCCCACCCACCUACCCACCUGCCCAC